rnacentral:misc_RNA from 1 species
UGGGUUGGGUUUUAAUCAUCUGGAAUUAUUAUUGGUUAGCUGAACGGUUUCGGGGUGGUUCAUAUUUGGACAGUCAUUUGAUUGUGCGCGUUUAUUUUGUUAAAAUCUCUUAAAUUUGAGGCUAAUUUGAGCUAUUAGGUGUCGUUGGACCUGAUAAUAUAAGGUAGUAGCCAAGGGAUCUGUAGAAAAUGAGAAAGUUUCUAUUUUAUGUUCUUUUUAACCGGUUGUGCUGUUGCUAUACUUUUUGCACUACCAUAUUGUAGUAACACCAUUGGCGUUGGAAAAAAAAUAAUCAAGAUAUCCUCGAUCAGUUUCCAUUAAAUAGUUUUCCAAAAGUUUUUCUGUUUGUGAGUUUGAUAUUUAUAGAAGUUUCUCUACUUCAAAACGAGAAGGGACUUCAGCAGGGUGCUUAAUUAAAUGACUUAUCUAGCACUUGUAGGCCAAACUAGAACGCACACGCUUAUUAUAGAUAUGAAUUGUUUUGAAAUAGUAUAAAUAUUAUUAUAUGAAUUUUCCCAGUUCUUGCCCGUGUUUAAGCCUCAUAGAGUAACAUGGAGAGUGUGUUGCCUUGUUUGAUAACUGUAGUAUGCAUAGAUAUGAUGCAAUUUUCAAGGGGCCAAAGGUUAUGCAUUGCUCAUUUUCUUAGUGACAUGAUGAUAAUUUUGCAUUUUAAUGUAUUUUUUCGGCAUGUUUGUUCACUAUAUGUCUUCAAAAUCUUUACAUGGCCAUUUAUUUCACUGAAGAAGAG